GACGAACGCUGGCGGCGUGCUUAACACAUGCAAGUCGAACGGACAGGCCCUGCUUUUGUGGGGUGCUCGAGUGGCGAACGGGUGAGUAACACGUGAGUAACCUGCCCUUGACUUUGGGAUAACUUCUGGAAACUGGGGCUAAUACCGGAUAGGAUCUCCUGCUGCAUGGUGGGCGUUGGAAAGUUUCGGCGGUUGGGGAUGGACUCGCGGCUUAUCAGCUUGUUGGUGGAGUAGUGGCUUACCAAGGCUUUGACGGGUAGCCUGCCUGAGAGGGUUACCGGCCACAUUGGGACUGAGAUACGGCGCAGACUCCUACGGGAGGCAGCAGUGGAGAGUAUUGCACAAUGGGCGGAAGUCUGAUGCAGCAACGCCGCGUGCGGGAUGACGGCCUUCGGGUUGUAAACCGCUUUCGCAUGUGACGAAGCGUUAGUGACGGUAAUGGGUAAAGAAGCACCGGCUAACUACGUG
rnacentral:rRNA from 1 species